AUUGAACGCUGGCGGCAGGCUUAACACAUGCAAGUCGAACGAGUGGCGGACGGGUGAGUAAUGCGUAGGCAACUGCCUGAUGGAGGGGGAUCAAUACUUGAAAACGAAGCUUAUACCGCCAUCUCUUCGUGUAACCCAGCGGGGAUUAGCUGGUAGGCGGGGUAAAGGCUCACCUAGGCGAUGAUGCCUAGCCGGUCUGAGAGGAUGAACAGCCACACUGGAACUGAGACACGGUCCAGACUCCUACGGGAGGCAGCAGUGGGGAAUAUUGCACAAUGGACGAAAGCCUGACGGAGCCAUGCCGCGUGUAUGAAGAAGGCCUUCGGGUUGUAAAGUACUUUCAGCUGGGAGGCGUUACCAGCAGAAUAAGCACCGGCUAACUCCGUGCCAGCAGCCGCGGUAAUAC
rnacentral:rRNA from 1 species